ensembl:lncRNA
AUGUGUGAGGCUGUGAGCGUGAAGGAUGCUUGGAUGAGAAGACCUCUUCAAACAACGUAUGCAUUGUUCCACGUUUGUGUCCUUAUUCACUUGUCUAACGUGGAAGUUUAUGCUUUUGUGCAGAUCUCCUGGAAAAUGUAUAAAGGAACAAAGAAGAAGGGUAACCUUGGAAGGGGAAAAAGCAAGCUGAUUAUUUUUCUGGUGCCUUCUAAGGAAGUUUCACACAGGCCCAUGUAAUGCUGGACCAGAAUUGGUGAAUAAGCAGCUUUAGUUUAUUAUGAAAAUUAGAAACCUCUAAGAUGCAUUUGUAGAAUGAAUUCUCAAAUAUAAGGUACAUCCAUGGCAUAAUCUGGUGAGUAUGAAAUGCUCUGGUGAAAUACUCGUAUCCCCCUGUGAUCCUCAGUGUUCCUGUUGCAAUUAUGGUUGGAGUGUCAAGAAUAAANNNNNNNNNNNNNNNNNNNNNNNNNNNNNNNNNNNNNNNNNNNNNNNNNNNNNNNNNNNNNNNNNNNNNNNNNNNNNNNNNNNNNNNNNNNNNNNNNNNUAUGGUUGGAGUGUCAAGAAUAAAACCAAUUAGACCUGUGACCGGAAGUAACGAAAAUUCUGUAUGUUCUUUGGAGAAAAUAUGAAUGCUUCCUUGUAAAUGAGAAACUUCAAAACGAAAGCACAUAAAAUACCAGCUAUAGUCUGCUCAGCAUGACUCAGACUUUUUAUUCGAUUUACUUAUUUUUGGCCGUGCUGUAUCUCUGUUGCUGGGCAGGCUUUGUUGUCGCGGUGAAUGGGGCUGCUCUCCAGUUGCGGCGUGCAGGCUCCUCGUUGCAGCGGCUUCUCCUGUGGAGCCCAGGCUCUAAGACACGCGGGCUUCCAUGACUGUGGCGCGUGGGCGCGUUAGUUACGGCUCCCAGUCUCUAGAGCACAGGCUCAGUAGCUGUGCUGCAUGGGCUUGGUUGCUCCACAGCGUGUGGAAUCUUCCCGAAGUAGGGAUCAAACUUGUGCCCCUUGCAUUGGCAGGUGGAUUGUUUACUGUUGAGCCUCGAGGGAAGCCCCAAACUUUUAAAAAGAAACUUUUCUGAGUGCUGAGUUUUGAAUUCCCUGACUACUUGAGAUGUCUGUGAAACAAAGUACCCAGUUACAUACAGGAUUCCUAUGGUUAGGAAACUUCCUUUGUGCGUGUUUUGCCAGUUGACAAUGUGUAGCCUCGCCUCUCCUAUGUGCUCAGUACUAAAGGCUGUGCAUUUAGCGCACUCUUCAUUUUACUUUUGCUUUGUUUUGCUGUGUAUAGAGACAUGAAGGGCCAAAUAAAGGGUCUUGAAACUUUUGGGGGAGGGGCAGCACUUUUGCAUUUUUAAUUCAGGAAUCCCUUACCCAAGGGUGAGGAAAAUUCAUACUUAUGUAGCACUUUGGGAGGUCAAAGUUAGAAGCUGCUUUCUCUUUGAUGGUAAAUGAUCAUUUAACCUCUUCCUCUGUUUCAUGUAAGAUAAGACAUAAAUGAAAGGUCACCAGUAUAUGUCAUCAGUGAUAUAAUCCAAGAGGAAGAUGAAUUAGAGGGAAACUGGUUGGAAGUUUGAAAUAAAGAAAAAAAAGUACAUGGAGUAGUUUUUGUCAGCAGCCCUUGAGCAAACACAGCAGUGUUAUAUCAGACCAAAGGUUGCAGAGAUUUAAAAAGACCCCUUCCCACUGGAAUCUCUCAGUCACAUCUAGAAACAUAAUUUCACUUAAUCAAAAUUUUAUAUAGCUUCGGGCCUAACAUGGAUGCUAAACAAGUUCUUAUGAAUCCGAUUAAUGGAUGCGCUCUUAGGGUGCUUAAGGCAUCAGAAAUGAGGUAUUAAGAGUCAGAAUCCUCCCUCUAGGAGCUUACACAGAAAAGCAGCACACAAAUAGCAAUGAUAUCAGAAACUAUUGAGAGGGAUUGGCAGAUGAGGGGAAUAGAGAAUCACUCAUUUAAGAAUGCAGUCAUUUAAAGCCAUUUUAGAACUUUGAGGGAUAUCAGUGAUAAAAAAUCCGAGGAAAGGAUAAAAAGCUUCUGCUUAGGGUGGGAGAAGGAGGCGAGAUUUGAAAUUGCUAUAAGAAGGAAGUAGCAUUUGAGCUGAGUAGGAAUUUUAUAUUCAGAAAUGUGAAUGUGUGUGUAUAGAGAAAAGGAACAAUCGUCCAUUCCAGAUUGAGGGAAUGUAGUUUAUUAACAUUUCCAUUCUACAUUUAUUGAUUGCCUCCUAUGUAACAGAUCUUAAACUGAGUGUUGG